rnacentral:rRNA from 1 species
AACGAACGCUGGCGGCAUGCCUAACACAUGCAAGUCGAACGAGACCUUCGGGUCUAGUGGCGCACGGGUGCGUAACGCGUGGGAACCUGCCCUUAGGUUCGGAAUAACUCCCCGAAAGGGGUGCUAAUACCGGAUAAUGUCUUCGGACCAAAGAUUUAUCGCCUUUGGAUGGGCCCGCGUUGGAUUAGCUAGUUGGUAGGGUAAAAGCCUACCAAGGCGACGAUCCAUAGCUGGUCGGAGAGGAUGAUCAGCCACACUGGGACUGAGACACGGCCCAGACUCCUGCGGGAGGCAGCAGUGGGGACUAUUGGACAAUGGGCGAAAGCCUGAUCCAGCACUGCCGCGUGAGUGAUGAAGGCCUUAGGGUUGUAAAGCUCUUUUACCCGGGAUGAUAAUGACAGUACCGGGAGAAUAAGCUCCGGCUAACUCCGU